rnacentral:rRNA from 1 species
AUUGAACGCUGGCGGCAGGCCUAACACAUGCAAGUCGAACGGUAACAGGAAACAGCUUGCUGUUUCGCUGACGAGUGGCGGACGGGUGAGUAAUGUCUGGGAAACUGCCUGAUGGAGGGGGAUAACUACUGGAAACGGUAGCUAAUACCGAAUAACGUCGCAAGACCAAAGAGGGGGACCUUCGGGCCUCUGGCCAUCGGAUGUGCCCAGAUGGGAUUAGCUAGUAGGUGGGGUAACGGCUCACCUAGGCGACGAUCCCUAGCUGGUCUGAGAGGAUGACCAGCCACACUGGAACUGAGACACGGUCCAGACUCCUACGGGAGGCAGCAGUGGGGAAUAUUGCACAAUGGGCGCAAGCCUGAUGCAGCCAUGCCGCGUGUAUGAAGAAGGCCUUCGGGUUGUAAAGUACUUUCAGCGGGGAGGAAGGGAGUAAAGUUAAUACCUUUACUCAUUGACGUUACCCGCAGAAGAAGCACCGGCUAACUCCGUG